rnacentral:tRNA from 3 species
GCGGAAGUGGCUCAGUUGGUAGAGCACAACCUUGCCAAGGUUGGGGUCGCGGGUUCGAGUCCCGUCUUCCGCU